rnacentral:rRNA from 1 species
GACGAACGCUGGCGGCGUGCUUAACACAUGCAAGUCGAACGGAAAGGCCCUGCUUUUGUGGGGUUCUCGAUUGGCGAACGGGUGAGUAACACGUGAGUAACCUGCCCUUGACUUUGGGAUAACUUCAGGAAACUGGGGCUAAUACCGGAUAGGAUCUCCUGCUGCAUGGUGGGGGUUGGAAAGUUUCGGCGGUUGGGGAUGGACUCGCGGCUUAUCAGCUUGUUGGUGGGGUAGUGGCUUACCAAGGCUUUGACGGGUAGCCGGCCUGAGAGGGUGACCGGCCACAUUGGGACUGAGAUACGGACCAGACUCCUACGGGAGGCAGCAGUGGGGAAUAUUGCACAAUGGGCGGAAGCCUGAUGCAGCAACGCCGCGUGCGGGAUGACGGCCUUCGGGUUGUAAACCGCUUUCGCCUGUGACGAAGCGUGAGUGACGGUAAUGGGUAAAGAAGCACCGGCUAACUACGUG